CUCCCUCACUCACUUGCUCCCCAGCUCCGGCCUCGUCGCUUCGCCGUGUCGCGUCUUGCAAGGGGGUUACGUGAAGGGGUGUCGGUGGGUGUGUGUUUAGCAAGUGUGUGCGUCACCCAUCACGCCCACACAUUCACCAGACAGUCACACGCCCGCCCCUGCACGCCCGCGCUAGGGUUUGUGGGCCCUGCCACCUUACCGCGCCUUAGAGUCGGCGGUGGCAGGUGUGAGUGCGUACCAUCCACCUGCGGCACCGUCUCCCCUCCAUCACUGCGUUCCUCCACCCUGGCCUUCUAUGCAACACUAACCUGACACAGAAAGGUAACACUUCCCAGGCCGCCCCGCCACUCAGCCGCGGCGCCCACCUGUAAUUUGUCAGAGAGCGACGUAAGCGUGAGGUGGUGAUUGCCUGCGCCGGGCCGACCCUCGUCGUGAUGGCGGGCGCGGCGAGGCGUGUGUGUGGCUCUGGUCUGGUGGCGGGCGCGCGGGGGCGAGCAGGAAACCACAGCGGCAGCAGCAUCAGGAGGAAAAGAAGAUGCGGCGUGGGAGUCGGCUUGACGGUGCUGUGGGUGGGGAUGACGGUGGGGCUGGCGCAAGGCUACCCCCAGGCCGGCGUGAUGGGCGUGGGCGGCUCCAAAGUGAUCAAGUGCCCCAGCCCCCUAGAGAUUGCCCCCUGCACUUGCCGGGAGAUGAAAAAAGGCAAGGACACCGGCCUUGACAUCGUUUGUGAUAACACGGACCACAAACAUGUACGUAACGCCCUCGACGUCCUCAAGAAGCAGCCUGUCAUGAUCUACUGGAUGAAGGUGCGCAACUGCAACCUCCCGCGCAUCCCCGACUACGUGUUCCUGGGCCUGGACGUCUACCACCUCAACAUCAUCCGUAGCAACGUGAGCGCCAUCGAGCGGUCGUCCCUCUCGGCCCUGGGCGGCGCGCUAGUGACCCUCGACCUCGCCAACAACAAGAUCCGGGAGGUCCCGACGAGUGCUCUGACGAUGCUGAAGAAACUCACCUUCCUCAACCUCAACUACAACCCGAUCAAUGUUCUUCUGGAGGGAGCGUUUGACGGCCUGGUGAUGCUGGAACGACUCUCCCUCUACGACAACCAGAUCCAGCACAUCAACGACAACGCCUUCAAGGGCAUCGGCAGGAGGCUGAUGCGCCUCAACCUGGGCAAGAACAUGCUGGACUACAUCCCCACCGACACCUUCCACCCCCUGACUAACCUCGAGGUGCUGGACCUCCACGAGAACCGCAUCACCCACAUCCCCGACGGCGCCUUCGAGGGUCUGCGCAAGCUGGACAUGCUGAAGCUGGAGCACAACCAGAUCACCACCAUCCAGGCCAACGUGUUCAGCGACCUCACGGUGCUCAACUCCCUCAACAUCGAGCACAACCUCAUCACCAACAUCAGCGACCGAGCCUUUGCCGGACUGGAGAGUAAUUUGGAAUGGCUUGAGCUCGGCCACAACCGCCUGGACCACAUCCCCUCCCACGCCCUCCGCCCCCUCCACAACCUUCGCCAGCUGGACCUGGACUCAAACCGCAUCACCCACGUGCAGGAGGACGCUUUCAGGGGCUACGGGGAUACCAUCAAGUACAUCCUGCUAGACAAGAACCACAUCAAAAGCAUCCCGCCUCUGGCCUUCAUGGACCUUCACUCACUGGAGUGGCUCAAGCUGUCCCACAACGACCUCACCCGCCUCACCGAGGACACCGUCCAGCCCAUCCUCGACACCCUCACCAUGAUCGACGUCUCGCACAACCCACUGAGGUGCAGUUGUGACCUGCUGUGGCUGCGGCGAUGGCUCAGCAACCCCAACAACCGCGAGACCAUCAUGUCGAGCGAGGACCACAUCUGCACCACCGACAACCGCAAGUCUCACCCCAUCGAGCACCUGCCAGUCCAUGAGUUCGACUGUCCCAGCACCAUACCCAUCGCGGGGGCCGCCGGCGCGCCUUCCAGAGCCAACCCCAGGACGCCGUGAGCCUCCCGUUAGUUCCGGGACUUUGGACGGCCCCGCCACGCUCACUAAUGCCUGACGACGCUUAGGCGGGGCCCUCCCGAUGGCGCGGCGGUGAUGGUCUGCUCGCCCUUCCUCCUGGCUGCCGGCAUCGCCUCCGUGGUCUUAACGGAAAACACGUGGCAUUAGUCCGCGUGAGCCCCAGGUGCUCGGCCUGUGCCGGGGUGUGGCCUGCGGCGGGGCACCACGCCAAGGGACGCUCUACUUCCUAGCAGGAUAUUUCAUGUUGAUGCACUAAUUACUGGCUACCUUGACAGCCCUCCAUACUGAACACUGUAUCCAUGGGUUGACACGUGACCCAUCCUAACGAAGUGCUUCAAGGAAGUGUGGUGACCAAGUCUGCCUGGUGUUGUGCAAUGGCGCGAGGUUUGCUCUGCGCUGCGCUACCGCCGGGGACGACAACAACAAAACAAUAACAUCAACAACAAUAACAACAACAACAGUAGUUAUAAUAAUAAGAAUGGGUGAUAACCAACUAAAUAUCUUAUGUAUUUUUUCUUCGUUGUUAUACAUUUGUUUUAAUGAUAGAAUCAGGUGGAUGAAGGGCCGUCCCCUAGCGUUGCCCCAACCCUCCCCGUCACGCGCUGGCCUCCGCCGCGGCCCGCCUCCCACCUGGUCAGGUAUACACACCUCGGGCCGGGCGGGCGUGCGACGCGGCGGCGGGCGUCUCGCCAGGCGCCGCGCCGCCACGCCUGCUCCGGAAAAACUGACCAAUAGGUAAUAAGAUAAUAGCUCUUGUCACAGGUAACCUAAGUAACUCGCACAGGUAAUCGCCCCCCCCCCCCCGCCCUGCCCCCCAUCAUCCCACCCUCACCCCCCGUCCCACCACACCCCACACAUGAACGCUAAGUAUUAAUUCGCGUGAUUCAUCCCCUUUCUCACCUCUGUAACUCAUCAACAAACUCAAUCCAUCUCUCCGACACACACACACACACACACACACACACACACACACACACACACAGUCGCGAAUCAAGCACGUGAUCAGUCCACGGUGAAUUUCACACCCAGAGAGACGGAGCGAGUAGGUGUCAGUCGAUCACCGUCUAGGCACACCGAGAGUAUUGAAGCAAGGUUGAGCAGGCGGGAUUCCCUACAUACAAAUGAAAUAUCCAUUACAAAUAAAAAGUAAACAAGAUUGGCGACAGUGAAAUAAACAAUGAUGAGAAGCAAAGAAAAAAUGGCUAAGCGCGUAGUGAGGGCGGCCAGUUUGUUUUGAGGUGACGGCGGGAACACAGGACGCUGCAACUUAACUCCAGUAAGUACAAAGUAAUUCAAAAUGUCUCGAAGCAUUAGAGACAAAAGGAAAGCAAGCGGUCCUGAUGUAAUACUGACCUUUGAGAAAUUUGACGAGAAACCAGAUUGGGAAUAUAAGCCAAGAAAUUUACACUUACAACCAUCACGAAAAGAAAAUAUAUUUUGGUUUGACAAAAAAAAAAGUUAACACUAGUAGAUCAUAUAAAUUUACAAGCAAGGAAUAUGAACGUAUUAUAAGGCCAAUUCUAGAGUAUGCAGCAAUAGUUUGGAAUGCCCAUUUGAAAAUAUAAUAAAAAAAUAAAAAGAUUGAAGGAACACUACAAAGAGAUGCUUUGAGAGGAGUUUCCAGCCUAAGAAAUUUAGCGCUUGAAGAAAUACUAGAAAAGUUAAAUCUGCCAACCCUAGAACAGAGGAGGAGAGGAGAUAUGAAAAUGUUCCAUACGACUGACCCCCCAGAAAAAGAGAAGAUGACGUAAAUUGCUACAUAGCAUAUUGUAAUUAACAUCAAGGAGGCACGUUGGAAAAAUAUUAAAAAAGGGAUGAUAAGAAUGUAAAGAAAUCAGUUUUCCAAAUAAGGAGAAGUGUGUGUUAAAAGCCUUCAUAAAUUUAAAGAAAUGUAUGACAAAAUGGUUUAAAAACUAGGACCAUACAAGCCAUGCUCAAUCCUGUAGAGAUACAAGUAGGUAAGAAAACACACACACACACACACACACACACACACACACACACACACACACACACACACACACACACACACACACACACACA